UUUCAGUUUAGUUAACACGAGUAAUGAUUUCCAUGAAGUCUGAAAGGAAUGCGGUCCAUAUUCCUGUCACGAUAUCCAAGGGCUGUAAAUGUUAGUAACCAUUUCACUUCUCAAAACUAAUGAUCCUUCUGCCCACCUUAACGUGUAAAGCAAGAAGAAAGAGCCAAGUGAUGAGUGCCAGGCGCGCGCACCGUGGCCCUUAAUGAUGUCCUUUAUGCAAAAGACUCCAAAUAACGCCAAAUCUAUUCAAAAUCAAUGUUUGAUGAAGCAAACAGGAACGCAAAGUCAGUAUUCCAUUCCGGAACAUUUGGUUUCCCGGAAAGACGAUUGACGCUCAAGAAUACGGUCCAAAGUUCGUUAGCUCAGUCGACACAAAGUGACUUGCAUGACGUCAUGCAGGGAAGUAAACAAAUAAAACGAUGUGACUCAGCACUCGCUUCCUCCUAAGGAUGACGCAAUAAUGGCGUAAUACAGCCUCGUGAAAGUCCGCUGACUUGAUUUAUUGUUUGGGAUAAUGUCAUGACACGUGAUUCUUGACACGUGACACAUGAAUGUUGUAACGUGACUCUAGGUAAGUUAACGGAAGAAUGCAGGGUUACAAACCGUUACAAUACUGGAAUGAAGCCAUCAUUGAUCUUAUUAAUGUUUACUCAAGUCAACAGGUGACAGUUAGUCAUUUGUGGGUUAUCAGAUAGACUACCGAACCCCUGUUAUAACAUGAACGAUGACAUUCCAGUAUUACUGAACAGUCUAGUUUUAGUAAAGCGUAUAGUAAAUGCCAUACACCGGACAUGAACCAUGACUCGGCUACAACAGCCGGAACAUAUUGCAUUCCUAAUGUUACUUUAGUUUAUAAAACCUUCAUAUGUGUGCUAAAUCAGUAUUGCUAUUAGCUCAAGAAACUUUUAUCAGAUUAAAUAAACUACGAACAAUAGACAA